GUUUCCGUUGACGUAAGGGUCAUUAUUUUAUUGGCUUACAAGGCUAACAUGCUCCAAGGUCAGUGUGAGACUUUUGCGACGUUGCGGGAACGCGCAACGCUUGGAUAACGUUUGCUUUGGUGCCACAAAAUACUGCAGUGAGUGAGGAGGAUCUCAGCUUCAAGCUGUCGGCAGUUAUCACGGUUGUUGGCUUCAAUAUGAUUUGGCAGUAACAUCUUGGAUCCUAUGAGCUGUCACCUUCACAGACAAGUCUGUCAAUCCACCUAACAUCUGACUUAAACGAUUCAGUCCCUCUCUCUGCAUACGAGGUAGAAGGCUCGCUUCUGUUGACACCCAAGAGAAUCAUACAAAUAAAACAAGCCAGUGCAUAAUGGCAGCUGUAUCUCCAUAAUCCAUGAGACUUCGUGUUGUUGAGCCAGACCGGGCUAGAAAAUUAAAACUCAGUUCACGACCAGCCUCUGUUGAUGCACUGAUUGCUGUUAUAAAAGAACAGCUGGAAAUAUACCUUGACUUCAGUUUAAAAUAUGAAGACCCCGACUUUGAUGGAAAACUUAUUUCCCUCUCUGACAUUGAUGAGUUGCCACAGAAAGCUGUUGUGCAUG